UUUGACUCCGUGGCUCGAGGACGAACGCUGGCGGCGUGCUUAACACAUGCAAGUCGAACGAUGAAGCUGGAGCUUGCUCCGGUGGAUUAGUGGCGAACGGGUGAGUAACACGUGAGCAAUCUGCCCUUGACUCUGGGAUAACUGCGGGAAACUGUAGCUAAUACCGGAUAUUUUCCCUGGUGGGCAUCCACUGGGGAAGAAAGAAUUUCGGUCAAGGAUGAGCUCGCGGCCUAUCAGCUAGUUGGUGAGGUAAUGGCUCACCAAGGCGACGACGGGUAGCCGGCCUGAGAGGGUGACCGGCCACACUGGAACUGAGACACGGUCCAGACUCCUACGGGAGGCAGCAGUGGGGAAUAUUGCACAAUGGGCGAAAGCCUGAUGCAGCAACGCCGCGUGAGGGACGAAGGCCUUCGGGUUGUAAACCUCUUUUAGCAGGGAAGAAGCGAAAGUGACGGUACCUGCAGAAAAAGCACCGGCUAACUACGUG
rnacentral:rRNA from 1 species